UACGGAGGGUGCGAGCGUUGUCCGGAAUCACUGGGCGUAAAGCGCGCGCAGGCGGUCUUCCAAGUCAGUGGUGAAAAGCCUGGAGCUCAAACUCCAGAACUGCCAUUGAAAACUGUUUAGACUUGAGUACGAGAGAGGUGAGUGGAAUUCCCCAGUGUAGAGGUGAAAUUCGUAGAUAUUGGGAAGAACACCAGUGGCGAAGGCGGCUCACUGGCUCGUAACUGACGCUCAGGCGCGACAGCGUGGGGGAUCAAAACAGG
rnacentral:rRNA from 1 species